GAUGAACGCUGGCGGCGUGCCUAAUACAUGCAAGUCGAGCGAACAGACGAGGAGCUUGCUCCUCUGACGUUAGCGGCGGACGGGUGAGUAACACGUGGAUAACCUACCUAUAAGACUGGGAUAACUUCGGGAAACCGGAGCUAAUACCGGAUAAUAUAUUGAACCGCAUGGUUCAAUAGUGAAAGACGGUUUUGCUGUCACUUAUAGAUGGAUCCGCGCCGCAUUAGCUAGUUGGUAAGGUAACGGCUUACCAAGGCAACGAUGCGUAGCCGACCUGAGAGGGUGAUCGGCCACACUGGAACUGAGACACGGUCCAGACUCCUACGGGAGGCAGCAGUAGGGAAUCUUCCGCAAUGGGCGAAAGCCUGACGGAGCAACACCGCGUGAGUGAUGAAGGUCUUCGGAUCGUAAAACUCUGUUAUUAGGGAAGAACAAAUGUGUAAGUAACUAUGCACGUCUUGACGGUACCUAAUCAGAAAGCCACGGCUAACUACGUG
rnacentral:rRNA from 1 species